rnacentral:rRNA from 1 species
CCUGACGCAGCAACGCCGCGUGCGGGACGAAGGCCUUCGGGUUGUAAACCGCUUUCAGCAGGGAAUAUAGUGAAGGUACCUGCAGAAGAAGCUCCGGCUAACUACGUGCCAGCAGCCGCGGUAAUACGUAGGGAGCGAGCGUUAUCCGGAUUCAUUGGGCGUAAAGCGCGCGUAGGCGGCCCGUCAAGCGGGGUUUCAAAUCCAGGGGCUCAACCUCUGGCCGGACCCCGAACUGGCGGGCUCGAGUGCGGUAGAGGAAGGUGGAAUUCCCAGUGUAGCGGUGAAAUGCGCAGAUAUUGGGAAGAACACCGAUGGCGAAGGCAGCCUUCUGGGCCGCCACUGACGCUGAGGCGCGAAAGCUAGGGGAGCGAACAGGAUUAGAUACCCUGGUAGUCCUAGCCGUAAACGAUGAGCGCUAGGUGUGGGGGAGCAUCUCCUCCGUGCCGCAG